rnacentral:rRNA from 1 species
AGAAUCAACGCUGGCGGCGUGCCUAACACAUGCAAGUCGAACGAGAAAGUGGAGCAAUCCAUGAGUACAGUGGCGCACGGGUGAGUAACACGUGACUAACCUACCCUUGAGUGGGGAAUAACCUGGAGAAAUCUAGGCUAAUACCGCAUAACACCUACGGGUCAAAGGAGCAAUUCGCUUAAGGAGGGGGUCGCGGCAGAUUAGCUAGUUGGCGGGUAAUGGCCCACCAAGGCAGUGAUCUGUAU